ACUCAAAGGAAUAGACGGGGGCCCGCACAAGCGGCGGAGCAUGUGGCUUAAUUCGACGCAACGCGAAGAACCUUACCAAAGUUUGACAUCAUAUUGAAGAAUAUAGAAAUAUAUUCGCCCGCAAGGGCAGUAUGACAGGUGGUGCAUGGUUGUCGUCAGCUCGUGUCGUGAGAUGUUGGGUUAAGUCCCGCAACGAGCGCAACCCCUUUCCCAUGUUGCCAUCAGUUCGGCUGGGCACUCUUGGGAAACUGCCAGUGUAAAACUGGAGGAAGGUGGGGAUGAGGUCAAAUCAUCAUGCCCUUUAUGCUUUGGGCUGCACACGUGCUACAAUGGCUUGUACAAAGAGCUGCGAUACCGUGAGGUGGAGCGAAUCUCAAAAAGCAAGUCUAAGUCCAGAUUGAAGGCUGCAACUCGCCUUCAUGAAGUCGGAGUCGCUAGUAAUCGUGGAUCAGCACGCCACGGUGAAUACGUUCCCGGGCCUUGUACACACCGCCCGU
rnacentral:rRNA from 1 species